UAGUCUUUGAUUGUGAUUAAAAUAGGAUUGAUGAAGUGGAGAGAUGCGUCCGGAGCGUUGUGUGAUCGGAGUAUCCUUAUAAAGCUUAAAGGAAAAUUUUAUAGGACUGUCAUUCGACCGGCUAUGAUGUAUUGUGUGGAAUGUUGGGCAGUUAGGAAGCAUCAUAUAGAUAAACUAAGUGUAGCGGAGAUGAGGAUGUUGAGAUGGAUGUGUGGCAAGACUAGGAAGGAUAAAGCACGGUAUGAACAUAUUAGAGCUGCGUUGGGAGUAGUGUUUAUUCAUGAUAAGCUACGUGAGAGUCGUUUGAGGUGGCACGGCCAUGUUCAACGAAGGUCUUGGGAUGCUCCAGUUUGGAGGAGUGAUUUGA